GUGCCCGUAGCUCAAUGGAUAGAGCAGCGGAUUCCGGAUCCGAAGAUUGAAGGUUCGAGUCCUUUCGGGCACG
rnacentral:tRNA from 1 species